UACGAAGGGGGCUAGCGUUGCUCGGAAUUACUGGGCGUAAAGGGCGCGUAGGCGGCACUGUUAGUCAGGCGUGAAAUUCCUGGGCUCAACCUGGGGACUGCGCUUGAUACGGCAGAGCUAGAGGAUGGAAGAGGCUCGCGGAAUUCCCAGUGUAGAGGUGAAAUUCGUAGAUAUGGGAAGAACACCGGUGGCGAAGGCGGCGAGCUGGCCAUUACUGACGCUGAGGCGCGACAGCGUGGGGAGCAAACAGG
rnacentral:rRNA from 1 species